UACGUAGGGUGCGAGCGUUGUCCGGAAUUACUGGGCGUAAAGAGCUCGUAGGUGGUUUGUCGCGUUGUUCGUGAAAUCUCACGGCUUAACUGUGAGCGUGCGGGCGAUACGGGCAGACUGGAGUACUGCAGGGGAGACUGGAAUUCCUGGUGUAGCGGUGGAAUGCGCAGAUAUCAGGAGGAACACCGGUGGCGAAGGCGGGUCUCUGGGCAGUAACUGACGCUGAGGAGCGAAAGCCAGGGGAGCAAACGGG
rnacentral:rRNA from 1 species